GACGGGGGGGGCAAGUGUUCUUCGGAAUGACUGGGCGUAAAGGGCACGUAGGCGGUGAAUCGGGUUGAAAGUGAAAGUCGCCAAAAAGUGGCGGAAUGCUCUCGAAACCAAUUCACUUGAGUGAGACAGAGGAGAGUGGAAUUUCGUGUGUAGGGGUGAAAUCCGUAAAUAUACGAAGGAACGCCCAAAGCGAAGGCAGCUCUCUGGGUCCCUACCGACGCUCAUGCACGAAAGCGUGGGGAGCAAACAGG
rnacentral:rRNA from 1 species